rnacentral:rRNA from 1 species
ACGUAAUAGAUACCCUGGUAGUCCACGCCCUAAACGAUGUCUACUAGUUGUUGGUGGAGUAAAAUCCAUGAGUAAACGCAGCUAAACGCGUGAAGUAGACCGCCUGGGGAGUACGGUCGCAAGAUUAAAAACUCAAAGGAAUUGACGGGGGCCCGCACAAGCGGUGGAUUAUGUGGAUUAAAUUCGAUGCAACGCGAAAAACCUUACCUGGCCUUGACAUGCCACUAACGAAGCAGAGAUGCAUUAGGUGCCCGUAAGGGAAAGUGGACACAGGUGCUGCAUGGCUGUCGUCAGCUCGUGUCGUGAGAUGUUGGGUUAAGUCCCGCAACGAGCGCAACCCUUGCCAUUAAUUGCCAUCAUUUAGUUGGGCACUUUAAUGGGACUGCCGGUGACAAACCGGAGGAAGGUGGGGAUGACGUCAAGUCCUCAUGGCCCUUAUGGCCAGGGCUUCACACGUAAUACAAUGGUCGGUACAGAGAGUUGCCAACCCGCGAGGGGAGCUAAUCUCAGAAAGCCGAUCGUAGUCCGGAUUGUUCU